rnacentral:rRNA from 1 species
GAUGAACGCUGACAGAAUGCUUAACACAUGCAAGUCGAUGGGGAAGCGGCGCUUGCGCCGUGGCAACCAUGGCGGACGGGUGAGUAACGCGUAAAGAACUUGCCGGAUGGACCGGGAUAACAGCUGGAAACGGCUGGCAAGACCGGAUACUGUGGGCUGGCCGCAUGGCUGGCCCAUGAAAAGGGAUGCCGUCCGAGAGCUUUGCGUCCUAUUAGCUGGUUGGUAAGGUGACGGCUUACCAAGGCGAUGAUAGGUAGCCGGCCUGAGAGGGUGGACGGCCACAAGGGGACUGAGAUACGGCCCUUACUCCUACGGGAGGCAGCAGUGGGGAAUAUUGGACAAUGGGGGCAACCCUGAUCCAGCAAUUCUGUGUGCACGAAGAAGGUUUUCGGAUCGUAAAGUGCUUUCAGCAGGGAGGAAGGAAGUGACUGACCUGCAGAGAGCGCGCAA